rfam:Erinaceus europaeus unplaced genomic scaffold scaffold00224, whole genome shotgun sequence
GCUCCAGUGGCGCAAUCGGUUAGCGCGCGGUACUUAUAUGGCAGUGCAGGCGGAGCGAUGCCGAGGUUGUGAGUUCGAUCCUCACCUGGAGCA